GACGAACGCUGGCGGCGUGCUUAACACAUGCAAGUCGAACGGAAAGGCCCAGCUUGCUGGGUGCUCGAGUGGCGAACGGGUGAGUAACACGUGGGUGAUCUGCCCCUCACUUCGGGAUAAGCUUGGGAAACUGGGUCUAAUACCGGAUAGGACAAUCGUUUAGUGUCGGUGGUGGAAAGUUUUUUCGGUUAGGGAUGAGCCCGCGGCCUAUCAGCUUGUUGGUGGGGUAAUGGCCUACCAAGGCGUCGACGGGUAGCCGGCCUGAGAGGGUGGACGGCCACAUUGGGACUGAGAUACGGCCCAGACUCCUACGGGAGGCAGCAGUGGGGAAUAUUGCACAAUGGGCGCAAGCCUGAUGCAGCGACGCCGCGUGGGGGAUGACGGCCUUCGGGUUGUAAACCUCUUUCGACAGGGACGAAGCUUUGGUGACGGUACCUGUAUAAGAAGCACCGGCUAACUACGUG
rnacentral:rRNA from 1 species